UUCUUCUAUUCCCUUUUGGGAAAAAAAAACUAUGUCCACAAUGGGUUCCACCACCCUGACGGUUCUGAAGUACUUUGCAAACAUCGAGUGAAGAGAUGAGUGACAUGAAAGGAGCACUUUUUGGAAAGUACCAGAGAAGUAGCACGCAAAAUGUGAUGUGGAACGCAAUUGGAAGUAUCCUGGGAUUGCAAUAAGGGCAAGACCACGAGGAAAGGUUCAAUCAAAUUGUUCCAAGAAACCUGGGGAGCAAGUAAGGACCGAUCGAAGAAUGGAAAAGCCUUGGGAACAUGAAUAGUGAGAUGGAUGCUAAAGAU